rnacentral:misc_RNA from 1 species
GAUGAAGAACGUAGCGAAAUGCGAUAAGUAAUGUGAAUUGCAGAAUUCAGUGAAUCAUCGAAUCUUUGAACGCACAUUGCGCCCCCUGGUAUUCCGGGGGGCAUGCCUGUCCGAGCGUCAUUACAACCCUCAAGCUCAGCUUGGUGUUGGGCCCCGCCGCCCCGGCGGGCCCUAAAGUCAGUGGCGGUGCCGUCCGGCUCCGAGCGUAGUAAUUCUUCUCGCUCUGGAGGUCCGGUCGUGUGCUCGCCAGCAACCCCCAAUUUUUUUCAGGUUGACCUCGGAUCAGGUAGGGAUACCCGCUGAACUUAAGCAUAUCAACGGAGGA